ACUACGUUCUGACCGAGUAAGCCAACCCUUCAGUCCAAAGCCAUAUGAUACCGUGACGUCACUACGUUCUGACCGAGUAAGCCAACCCUUCAGUCCAAACCCAUAUGAUACCGUGACGUCACUACGUUCUGACCGAGUAAGCCAACCCUUCAUCCAAAAGCCAUAUGUUACCGUGACGUCACUACGUUCUGACCGAGUAAGCCAACCCUUCAGUCCAAAGCCAUAUGUUACCGUGACGUCACUACGUUCUGACCGAGUAAGCCAACCCUUCAGUCCAAAGC